rnacentral:rRNA from 1 species
UUGAAAGGGAAACGAUUGAAGUCAGUCGUACCGACGAGAAAUCAGCUUUUCGAAUGUGCAUUUGUGGGCGUAUGAGAUCUUCAUUGUUUGCAAUAUGUAUGUUUCUUUGGUGUACUUUUUCGUAUGGUAGGUCAAUGUCGGUUUUGAUCGCCAUAAAAUGAUCGGAGGAAUGUAGCUUCGGCUUCGGUUGAAGUGUUAUAGCCUUUGGUAAAUGUGGUGAUUAGGACCGAGGAUUGCAACGAAUACCUUUUAGGCUAUCCGUCUGACCUCUGAAAGUUACUUAGGUGCCGAAAGCUUGCUUACGGCAUUUAAGUUGACGGUCAAUAGGUUAGAACGUGAUUACAUUCGUUAAGGAUGUUGACGUA